UCAGCGCCCCAUGGGAAAUAGUUUGAAUUUUGAUUUUCUGCCUAAAUCCCAGAUUUAAUCAUGUCUUUUAGCAGCUCCUGUUCUGAAUCUUGACAUCAGAAAGCACCAAACUCUUGGAGAAUCUAUAGAACAGCAAAACAGCCAACUGAAGAAUCAGCAACAACAACAGCGGCAACAACAAAACAGUGGAGAAGGACAUAGAGUUAUCUAUGUUUACUUACCCAGAUGAGAGUCCCCUGCUCUCCCAAUGUGACAAGACCCCCCUUUCCACAAGCAUGCAUCCUCACACCUGCUGAGAAGAUAUGGUUCUGGAAAGGAGCCAGGAAAGAGCAACAAAUUGAAUUAUCUAGGAGAGUGGUCAGAGAUUUUGGACUCUCUUUGAAAAUUCCAUCCAUUCUUUUACCCUACCAAUGUAUAUUGGGAGCAACUGGAGGGAUAGCUGAAAAGCACCCUGAAUACUGUUUCAAGGUAAGAGUACUCAUCAAAUGUUAGUUGAGAAUCAAUGGGGAAACAUUUAAGGCUCCAAUCCUGGCUAUAUGACCUUGGAUAAGUC
rnacentral:lncRNA from 1 species